UCCUACAUCCUAAGGAUGAAGAUUUAUAGAGAUAGAUCUAGAAGGUUACUUGGAUUGUCCUAAUCCACGUACAUCGAUACCAUGUUGAAAUGGUUCAAUAUGAAAAAUUUGAAGAAAGACGAUCUAUUGAUAGGCCAUGGAAUUACUCUCUUCAAGAAGGAUUGUCUGAUAACCCCUCAAGAUAGAGAGAGCAUAUGAGUAGAAUCUUAUAUACUUCGUUAGUAGGAUUUAUCAUGUAUGCCAUGACGUAUAUG
rnacentral:lncRNA from 1 species